UGGGGAAUUUUGGACAAUGGGGGCAACCCUGAUCCAGCAAUGCCGCGUGUGUGAAGAAGGCCUUCGGGUUGUAAAGCACUUUUGUCCGGAAAGAAAACGCCGUGGUUAAUACCCGUGGCGGAUGACGGUACCGGAAGAAUAAGCACCGGCUAACUACGUGCCAGCAGCCGCGGUAAUACGUAGGGUGCAAGCGUUAAUCGGAAUUACUGGGCGUAAAGCGUGCGCAGGCGGUCCGCUAAGACAGAUGUGAAAUCCCCGGGCUUAACCUGGGAACUGCAUUUGUGACUGGCGGGCUAGAGUAUGGCAGAGGGGGGUAGAAUUCCACGUGUAGCAGUGAAAUGCGUAGAGAUGUGGAGGAAUACCGAUGGCGAAGGCAGCCCCCUGGGCCAAUACUGACGCUCAUGCACGAAAGCGU
rnacentral:rRNA from 1 species